ensembl:lncRNA
GGACGGCUCAUAAUGUCAGGAGUGGAAGGGUUGUAAAACCACAGGAGGCUGUUGGGGAGGACGGCUCAUAAUGUCAGGAGUGGAAGGGUUGUAAAACAGAAGGGAACUAUGUGUUUGAUACCAGUCACUUCACCACAUUCCUCCCAUCACUAUGAGCCCUUCCUCCCCAAUUAAUAAGGUGCCCCCAGUCGCAUGUGGUGUGGUACAAAAUACUAUAUGUACCGUGUUAGUGGUGUUAUAUAAAUACUAUAUGUACCGUGGCUGUGUAAUUAGUGAAUCAUUUGGAUAUACUGUAUGUAGUAGAAAAUACUAAUAGUACCGUGUUAGUGGUGAUAUAUAAAUACUAUAUGUACAAAUAAUUAAAAAAAAUAAUUGUAAGGAUAAUUAUCAGCUUUGGCUAGAAGAGCCACACUAAUGUCGGGAUUCAAUCCCAUGGUGCUUUGUCAACAACGCACCAUUUAAACCUUUCCGAUUGAACCAACAUGCAGCGAGGAAUGUGGUCUCCCCGACAGGUGCGGACUUUGCCUAUGAAUGACGUUAAUGGCGUUGUUGACGAAGCGCAGUCAGAUUGAAUCGGGGACUAACAGUGAUCUGGUUUAGUACAGGUGGACUUUAAUUAAAGGGGCAAUGCAGGAUUCAAAAGAACAACAAAGUGUUCUCCGUUAUCAUCCAAUCCCAGAUCAGGAUUAUUUAUUUAUUAGUUAUCAUUCGCUAAGAAGUCAAAAAACAGAUGUGGUCCGACCAAUCCCAGAUCAGGAUUAUUUACAUACAUAGUUUGUGAGGCACUAAUAUGGAUUUACAUAUUCCAUUACCAGGCACUUUUUAUCCACAUCAACUUUCAGUCAGUCAGUCAUUUUUACAUAUGGGGAGGCCCCAGGAAUCAAACCCACAAUCCUGGUGUUGUAAAUGCUCUACCAACUGAACCACAGAGGACAGGCUCUACCAACUGAGUCCACAGAGGACAGGUUCUACCAGCUGAGUCACAGAGGACAGGUUCUACCAACUGAGUCCACAGAGGACAGGUUCUACCAUAGAACUACAUUUUUAGAUAUGCUAAUAUCUCCUCUCACUUUUUCUUUCCCUCCCUCCAACUGUCUCCCCCUCUUUUUCUCUCCCUCUCUCCCACACCUCUCUCGGUCUCUUUCUCUCCCACUAUCCUCCCCUUUCUCUCUCCCUCUCUCCCACACCUCUCUCAGUCUCUUUCUCUCCCACUAUCCCCCCCUCUCUCCCCUCUCCCUCUCUCCCACACCUCUCUCGGUCUCUUUC